rnacentral:rRNA from 1 species
UACGAAGGGGGCUAGCGUUGCUCGGAAUUACUGGGCGUAAAGGGCGCGUAGGCGGAUAGUUUAGUCAGAGGUAAAAGCCCAGGGCUCAACCUUGGAACUGCCUUUGAUACUGGCUAUCUUGAGUUCGGGAGAGGUGAGUGGAAUGCCGAGUGUAGAGGUGAAAUUCGUAGAUAUUCGGUGGAACACCAGUGGCGAAGGCGACUCACUGGCCCGAUACUGACGCUGAGGCGCGAAAGCUAGGGGAGCAAACGGG